GCCCAGACUCCUACGGGAGGCAGCAGUGGGGAAUAUUGCACAAUGGGGGAAACCCUGAUGCAGCGACGCCGCGUGAGUGAAGAAGUAAUUCGUUAUGUAAAGCCCUAUCGGCAGGGAAGAAGCAAGACGGUACCUGACUAAGAAGCCCCGACUAACUACGUGCCAGCAGCCGCGGUAAUACGUAGGGGGCGAGCGUUAUCCGGAUUCACUGGGUGUAAAGGGAGCGUAGACGGCCAAGCAAGCCAGGGGUGAAAGCCCGGGGCCCAACCCCGGGACUGCCCUUGGAACUGCAUGGCUGGAGUGCGGGAGGGGCAGGCGGAAUUCCUGGUGUAGCGGUGAAAUGCGUAGAUAUCAGGAGGAACACCGGCGGCGAAGGCGGCCUGCUGGACCGCGACUGACGUUGAGGCUCGAAAGCGUGGGGAGCGAACAGGAUUAGAUACCCUUGUAA
rnacentral:rRNA from 1 species